UACGAAGGGUGCAAGCGUUAAUCGGAAUUACUGGGCGUAAAGCGUGCGUAGGCGGUUUCUUAAGUCUGCUGUGAAAGCCCUGGGCUCAACCUGGGAAUGGCGGUGGAUACUGAGAAGCUGGAGUACGGUAGAGGAAGGUGGAAUUCCCGGUGUAGCGGUGAAAUGCGUAGAGAUCGGGAGGAACAUCAGUGGCGAAGGCGGCCUUCUGGACCAGUACUGA
rnacentral:rRNA from 1 species